rnacentral:lncRNA from 1 species
UCCCGAUCGGUUUUUCAUUUCCCUAUAUUUGCAAACAAUUGUUGAUUAUUUUUUAAAUUUAUGUGCUAAAUAUCCACUUUUUAAUUAAUCAAAUCAAAAUCUUUUUUACAUGACCUAAACUGCAUGUUCAGUUUACAUGCACCAUAACUAAUUUUCAAAUCAAUACUCUACAAACUUACUAGACAGAUGAUAGGUAUACACACAAAGAUUAAAUCUAAAAUGCAAAGACAGAAAAUUACCUAUCAGGACCGCUGGGACACCAACCUGAUGCAAAUUAAAUCAUUUUUAUUGACACGAGAGGAUUCACCGGCAAUGAUUUCAAUGUUAGGCGUUAGCUAUCUGAACUAAUAUUUUAUUUUUCUGGCCACAGUACGGGGUUUUAUUCAGUAUUUUUCUUUUCUUUUCUAUCAUUUUUCUAAAUGAAAACAAAUCUCAUCAAUCAAACCAAAAAAAAAAAGGUUACACUAUUAUUUUAAUAUAUUUAUAACAAAAAUCAUUUUAAAAAUUAAACUUUACCACAAUUUCAAACACGGUAAUCUUAUAAACAUUAUCUUUUGACAUAAACCUGUCUAAUAUGUACACGUACUUAAUCUCAUCCCAUCUCCUCCCAGAACAGAUCAUCUCUAUGUAGAUUCUUCAUCUCUGCUCUGAGAAACAUCCAAAGACACAGACAGGAUUAGAAACAUGGUAAAAGGAGGAGAAAAACAGGUUGGAGUUCCUGUAAUAAUAGCGAUGAAAGGGCAUCCUGGCACAGGCAAGAGUACUUUAGCCAGCUCUUUAGCUUCAUCUCUCAAAAUCCCUCUCAUCGACAAAGAUGAUGUCCGUGACUGCACCGUAUCCAUCCAAAACUCCUCACCCGCUACAGCAUCCAAACUCCUCAACGAUCUCUCUUACGACGUUGUCUGGCAGAUCGCCUCCACUCAGCUACGUUUAGGUCUCAGCGUCAUCAUCGACUCUCCACUCUCUCGGAGGGCCCAUCUCGAUAGACUUGUCCAGGUGGCUUCCUCUACCGGGUCCCUCCUCGUGAUUGUCGAGUGUAAGCCGUUGGAUGAGGGUGUUUGGCGGAGAAGGCUAGAGCAACGUGGCAAGGGUGAUCAGGCUAGCUGGCAUAAGCCUUCAACGUGGCAGGAUCUUGAGAGGCUACUUGAAGGGUACGGUGGGUCCACUGACUAUGAUGUUGGCGAUGUACCGAAGAUAGUCCUGGAUACUUCUGUUGCGGUAGCGGUGGAUGAGCUUGUUUCUAGGGUGGUGGAUUUCGUUGUUUCUUCUGCUUGUACAGGUUAUCACAACUAGAAUUAAUUACCCUUAAUAUUAUAUGUAUAAUAUUCAAACUAUCAUAUGUAUAUAACUUUGUAGAUGAGUCUAGAAUGGUCGAUCUUGCUUCUUAAAUUAUCACCUGUGAGGUCAGAAGAUUACUAGUUGUUGGAUAAACAAUAAAAUGUGAUGAGAACAUGGCAUAUAGCUGCCAAAAAUAUGUUUACAAAAAUAUAGCACGCACCAGUUAGCUUGCCCUUUUCGAGAAUCUAGAACACAGCGUAUGAGGCCCUCCGAGGUUACGAAAGAACAGCCGAGGCAAAAACAAAAUCCAAGCUUAUGUUUGUUUCUCGAGAUACUAUGUGAUGUAUAUAACAAUACUAACUCUAACGGGUGGUCAUAGAUAUAACAAAAAAUACAUUACACUUCGGCGUCAUUAGCGGCGCCUCUCGGGCAAAAAAAAUUUUAUGUCGUGUUGUUCGG